CUAAAAUCUGCAUGGCUGAAGCCAGGAGUCUGGCUGGGCUAGCUUUUAUCUUGUGCUCCCUGGAACCCUGACUGGAUGAUUUCUGAAGUCGAGCUGGAGCCCAUCUAGAGGGAAGGUGAAACUUCUCCUCAGCAUGCAGGGCCUCCUGCACCCACACUGCCACAGCCACCGCAUUACCAGCUCCUGCCAGUCUGAGGAGCAAGAGGCUGGCAUGAAGAAUCAGUUCC
rnacentral:lncRNA from 1 species